rnacentral:rRNA from 1 species
CGGCGUGCCUAAUACAUGCAAGUCGAACGCACUCUCGUUAGAUUGAAGAAGCUUGCUUCUGAUUGAUAACAUUUGAGUGAGUGGCGGACGGGUGAGUAACACGUGGGUAACCUGCCCUAAAGUGGGGGAUAACAUUUGGAAACAGAUGCUAAUACCGCAUAAAACCUAGCACCGCAUGGUGCAAGGUUGAAAGAUGGUUUCGGCUAUCACUUUAGGAUGGACCCGCGGUGCAUUAGUUAGUUGGUGAGGUAAAGGCUCACCAAGACCGUGAUGCAUAGCCGACCUGAGAGGGUAAUCGGCCACACUGGGACUGAGACACGGCCCAGACUCCUACGGGAGGCAGCAGUAGGGAAUCUUCCACAAUGGACGAAAGUCUGAUGGAGCAACGCCGCGUGAGUGAAGAAGGUUUUCGGAUCGUAAAACUCUGUUGUUGGAGAAGAACGUAUUUGAUAGUAACUGAUCAGGUAGUGACGGUAUCCAACCAGAAAGCCACGGCUAACUACGUG